AUUGAACGCUGGCGGCAUGCUUUACACAUGCAAGUCGAACGAGUGGCGGACGGGUGAGUAAUAUCUGGGAACCUGCCCGGUAGUGGGGGGUAACUACUGGAAACAUUAGCUAAUACCGCAUAUUAUUGGAUCUGCCCAUAUCUGAUUGGCUAGUGGGUGGGGUAACGGCUUACCUAGGCGACGAUCCGUAGCUGGUCUGAGAGGAUAACAAGACACAAGGGAACUGGGACACGGUCAAGACUCCUACGGGAGGCAGAAGUGGGGAAUAUUGCACGAUGGGCGCAAGCCUGAUGCAGCCGUGCCGCGUGAAUGAAGAAGGCCUUAGGGUUGUAAAGGAAUUUAAGGGGGGAGGCGUUACUCGCAGAAGAAGCACCGGCUAACUCCGUGACAGCAGCCGCGGUAAUUC
rnacentral:rRNA from 1 species